GAUGAACGCUGGCGGCACGUCUGACACAUGCAAGUCGAACGGCAAGGAGCAAUCCCUAGAGUGGCGAACGGCUGAGUAACACGUAGGAACCUACCCUCCGGCUCGGGAUAACGGUGCGAAAGCGCCGCUAAUACCGGAUAAUACCGCAAGGUUGAAAGAUUUAUCACCGGUGGAGGGGCCUGCGGCGUAUUAGCUAGUUGGUGAGGUAAUGGCUCACCAAGGCGACGAUCUUUAGCUGGUCUGAGAGGAUGAUCAGCCACACUGGGACUGAGACACGGCCCAGACUCCUACGGGAGGCAGCAGUGGGGAAUUUUGGACAAUGGACGCAAGUCUGAUCCAGCCAUGCCGCGUGCGGGAAGAAGGCCUUCGGGUUGUAAACCGCUUUUGUCAGAGAAGAAAUCUUCUGGGUUAAUACCUCGGGAGGAUGACGGUAUCUGAAGAAUAAGCACCGGCUAACUACGUGCCAGCCGCCGCAGUAAUAC
rnacentral:rRNA from 1 species